AUGCUUACUUCAGCAGCACAUAUACUAAAAUUGGAAGGAUAUCGAGAAGACUAACAUGGCCCAUGAGCAAGGAUGACAUGCACAUUUUUGAAGUAUUCUUGUUUUUC
ensembl:snRNA U6 U6 spliceosomal RNA